CCUACGGGAGGCAGCAGUGGGGAAUUUUGGACAAUGGGCGAAAGCCUGAUCCAGCAAUGCCGCGUGAGUGAAGAAGGCCUUCGGGUUGUAAAGCUCUUUUGUCAGGGAAGAAACGGUGAGAGCUAAUAUCUUUUGCUAAUGACGGUACCUGAAGAAUAAGCACCGGCUAACUACGUGCCAGCAGCCGCGGUAAUACGUAGGGUGCAAGCGUUAAUCGGAAUUACUGGGCGUAAAGCGUGCGCAGGCGGUUUUGAAGUCUGAUGUGAAAUCCCCGGGCUCAACCUGGGAAUUGCAUUGGAGACUGCAAGGCUAGAAUCUGGCAGAGGGGGGUAGAAGUUCCACGUGUAGCAGUGAAAUGCGUAGAUAUGUGGAGGAACACCGAUGGCGAAGGCAGCCCCCUGGGUCAAGAUUGACGCUCAUGCACGAAAGCGUGGGGAGCAAACAGGAUUAGAUACCCUGGUAGUCCACGCCCUAAACGAUGUCUACUAGUUGUCGGGUCUUAAUUGACUUGGUAACGCAGCUAACGCGUGAAGUAGACCGCCUGGGGAGUACGGUCGCAAGNUUAAAACUCAAAUGAAAUUGACCGG
rnacentral:rRNA from 1 species